rnacentral:rRNA from 1 species
GAUGAACGCUGGCGGCGUGCCUAAUACAUGCAAGUCGAGCGAACGGACGAGAAGCUUGCUUCUCUGAUGUUAGCGGCGGACGGGUGAGUAACACGUGGAUAACCUACCUAUAAGACUGGGAUAACUUCGGGAAACCGGAGCUAAUACCGGAUGAUAUUUUGAACCGCAUGGUUCAAAAGUGAAAGACGGUCUUGCCGUCACUUAUAGAUGGAUCCGCGCUGCAUUAGCUAGUUGGUAAGGUAACGGCUUACCAAGGCAACGAUGCAUAGCCGACCUGAGAGGGUGAUCGGCCACACUGGAACUGAGACACGGUCCAGACUCCUACGGGAGGCAGCAGUAGGGAAUCUUCCGCAAUGGGCGAAAGCCUGACGGAGCAACGCCGCGUGAGUGAUGAAGGUCUUCGGAUCGUAAAACUCUGUUAUUAGGGAAGAACAUAUGUGUAAGUAACUGUGCACAUCUUGACGGUACCUAAUCAGAAAGCCACGGCUAACUACGUGCCAGCAGCCGCGGUAAUACGUAGGUGGCAAGCGUUAUCCGGAAUUAUUGGGCGUAAAGCGCGCGUAGGCGGUUUUUUAAGUCUGAUGUGAAAGCCCACGGCUCAACCGUGGAGGGUCAUUGGAAACUGGAAAACUUGAGUGCAGAAGAGGAAAGUGGAAUUCCAUGUGUAGCGGUGAAAUGCGCAGAGAUAUGGAGGAACACCAGUGGCGAAGGCGACUUUCUGGUCUGUAACUGACGCUGAUGUGCGAAAGCGUGGGGAUCAAACAGGAUUAGAUACCCUGGUAGUCCACGCCGUAAACGAUGAGUGCUAAGUGUUAGGGGGUUUCCGCCCCUUAGUGCUGCAGCUAACGCAUUAAGCACUCCGCCUGGGGAGUACGACCGCAAGGUUGAAACUCAAAGGAAUUGACGGGGACCCGCACAAGCGGUGGAGCAUGUGGUUUAAUUCGAAGCAACGCGAAGAACCUUACCAAAUCUUGACAUCCUUUGACAACUCUAGAGAUAGAGCCUUCCCCUUCGGGGGACAAAGUGACAGGUGGUGCAUGGUUGUCGUCAGCUCGUGUCGUGAGAUGUUGGGUUAAGUCCCGCAACGAGCGCAACCCUUAAGCUUAGUUGCCAUCAUUAAGUUGGGCACUCUAAGUUGACUGCCGGUGACAAACCGGAGGAAGGUGGGGAUGACGUCAAAUCAUCAUGCCCCUUAUGAUUUGGGCUACACACGUGCUACAAUGGACAAUACAAAGGGCAGCGAAACCGCGAGGUCAAGCAAAUCCCAUAAAGUUGUUCUCAGUUCGGAUUGUAGUCUGCAACUCGACUACAUGAAGCUGGAAUCGCUAGUAAUCGUAGAUCAGCAUGCUACGGUGAAUACGUUCCCGGGUCU